GCUGAAAUACACAACAUAACACAAACAUCCUCCAAAGACCUAAACAAACCAUUUGACACACCUAGUAGAUGUGAUCGAACAGUAAAACCACCCACAAAGUACCGCAAGGGAAAACCACAAGCAAAAAACAGCAAAGAUUAACCCUUGUACCUUUCGCAUCAUGGUUUAGCAAGAAACCAAGGACAAGAAGAAUCAAAGCCCCCACCCCGAAACCAGAUGAGCUACUUUAAAGCAGCCUAACGGGCACACCCUUCUCUGUAGCAAAAGAGUGGGAAGACUUAAAAGUAGAGGUGAAACGCCUACCGAGUCUGGAGAUAGCUGGCUACCCAAAAAAGAAUCUAAGUUCCACUUUAGGCCCAACCAGGACUACUAUCCUUUUUGCCUAAAGAUAGUCAAUAGGGGUACAGCUCUAUUGAAACAGGAUACAACCUGAAUUUGAGAGGAAUACUCUCCACAUCCACCCCGUAGGCCUUAAAGCAGCCACCCAGCAAAAUAUCGUUAAAGAAUUAAUAAAAAAAUCUCAACACCAACCAAAAACUCCAAACAAACUAAAGGUAGACCCAUACUCAUGGGUAUUAUUAUGCUAAAACUAAUAAUAAGACAACCUCUCUAAAACGCACCCAUCCACUAGAAACGGAUAAACCACUAGUCAUUAACAGACCACAAUAGGCAAUAAACCAACCAAUACACACCUUCACACACACUGUGACACCAACACAGGAGCGUUAAAAAGAAAGAUUAAUCAUUAUAAAAGGAACUCGGCAACCCAAGACCCCAACUGUUUAACAAAAACAUAACCUUUAGCCACAAACAAAUAUUAAAGGCAACGCCUGCCCAGUGAACAAUUUAACGGCCGCGGUACCCUAACCGUGCAAAGGUAGCGUAAUCACUUGUCUAUUAAUUGUAGACCCGUAUGAAAGGCAAAAUGAGGGCCUAACUGUCUCUUAUAAUAGAUCAAUUAAACUGAUCCCCCAGUAAAAAAGCUGGGAUCCCAACAUAAGACCAGAAGACCCUGUGAAGCUUAAACUAAACUAUUACACCAUAUAAUAGCUACUUUCGGUUGGGGCGACCUUGGAAAAAAAAAGAACUUCCAAACAACAUGACCAUACCUCUCACCCAUAAGGCCUACAAGCCACCAAACGACCCAGAACAUCUGAUAAUUGAACCAAGUUACUCCAGGGAUAACAGCGCUAUCUUCUUCAAGAGCCCAUAUCAAAAAGAAGGUUUACGACCUCGAUGUUGGAUCAGGACAUCCUAAUGGUGCAGCCGCUAUUAAGGGUUCGUUUGUUCAACGAUUAACAGUCCUACGUGAUCUGAGUUCAGACCGGAGCAAUCCAGGUCGGUUUCUAUCUAUGAGCACGCUUUGCCCAGUACGAAAGGAUCGGUAAAGCAAAGCCAAUACCACAAGCACGCUUUAAAACCACUAACACACAUAAACCCUACCCCAACCAAGACAAGGUUAAAUUAAGGACGACCCUUA
rnacentral:rRNA from 1 species